AGCAGCCGCGGUAAUUCCAGCUCCAAUAGCGUAUAUUAAAGUUGUUGCAGUUAAAAAGCUCGUAGUUGAAUUUCGGGGUCAGUAGGUUGGUCGUGCCACCGGUACGUACUGGUCUCACUGAUUCCUCCUUCCUGAUGAGCUGUAAUGCCAUUAAUUUGGUGUUGCAGGGAAUCUGGACUGUUACUUUGAAAAAAUUAGAGUGUUUAAAGCAGGCUAACGCUUGAAUACAUUAGCAUGGAAUAAUGAAAUAGGACGUUCGAUCCUAUUUUGUUGGUUUCUAGGAUUGACGUAAUGAUUAAUAGGGAUAGUUGGGGGCAUUAGUAUUCAAUUGUCAGAGGUGAAAUUCUUGGAUUUAUUGAAGACUAACUACUGCGAAAGCAUUUGCCAAGGAUGUUUUCAUUAAUCAAGAACGAAAGUUAGGGGAUCGAAGACGAUCAGAUACCGUCGUAGUCUUAACCAUAAACUAUGCCGACUAGGGAUCGGAUGAUGUUAAUUUUUUAAUGAC
rnacentral:rRNA from 1 species